rnacentral:rRNA from 1 species
UACGAAGGGGGCUAGCGUUGUUCGGAAUCACUGGGCGUAAAGCGCACGUAGGCGGCUUAGCAAGUCGGAUGUGAAAUCCCUCGGCUCAACCAAGGAAGUGCAUCCGAAACUGCUGAGCUUGAGUACGAAAGAGGAUCGCGGAAUUCCCGGUGUAGAGGUGAAAUUCGUAGAUAUCGGGAGGAACACCAGUGGCGAAGGCGGCGAUCUGGGUCGAUACUGACGCUGAGGUGCGAAAGCGUGGGGAGCAAACAGG